rnacentral:rRNA from 1 species
UACGGAGGGUGCAAGCGUUAUCCGGAUUUACUGGGUUUAAAGGGUGCGUAGGUGGGUAGGUAAGUCAGUGGUGAAAUCUUCAAGCUUAACUUGGAAACUGCCAUUGAUACUAUUUAUCUUGAAUACUUUGGAGGUAAGCGGAAUAUGUCAUGUAGCGGUGAAAUGCUUAGAUAUGACAUAGAACACCAAUUGCGAAGGCAGCUUACUACACAGUAAUUGACACUGAGGCACGAAAGCGUGGGGGAGUCAAACAGGA